GUGUGCAUAAUGGAAGCUUUGCAAAUAAAUUUGGAUGGAAAAUCAAGUCAAUAUAAAGACCCUGCAUUGGCACAUCCUUUUUCUCCAGAACAAUAUUCAUUAUAUUGUCAGAUCGGUUCGGAUGUUUGAUGCCAAGGAUUUGCUAGGGGGAUGACUGGGUACAAUGACAUGGGAGGAUUGUUCAGCAGCAUGCAAAUCAAUACAAAAGAAAUACUUGGGCAAAUAUUCUUCAGUGCUUAUCUAUUCAGGGCCUUAGCUCAUCAGGUGGCAGGAGUUGUACUGGUGGCUGUGAUGGUGGAACUGGAAGCAGUAGCGGUGCUUCAAGAGAAAUUGUUAAAGACAGAUAGCCUUUCAAUUGCUUUUUUAUGAGUAAUUUCUUUACUAGUUUUGACACAUCUACAUGUGUUGUGUUAUCAGGUUUGAUGUUAUGUUUGAGGA